rnacentral:rRNA from 1 species
UACAGAGGUCUCAAGCGUUGUUCGGAUUCAUUGGGCGUAAAGGGUGCGUAGGCGGCGCGGUAAGUCGGGUGUGAAAUCUCGGAGCUUAACUCCGAAACUGCACUUGAUACUGCCUUGCUCGAGUACUGGAGAGGAGACUGGAAUUUACGGUGUAGCAGUGAAAUGCGUAGAUAUCGUAAGGAAGACCAGUGGCGAAGGCGAGUCUCUGGACAGUUACUGACACUGAGGCACGAAGGCCAGGGGAGCAAACGGG